CUUAGUGUGAGAAAGAAGCUACUCACAUCCCAGUUCAUCAAAGGCAUUGCUACAGUGGUUCCUGCCAUCACACAGAUGAUCGUGGAGGAAGCAGGUGCCAUCGCCACAUUCCAAAUAGCCCCGGCUGAUGUCACAAGGAGCCAGAGACGGGUCAUCGCGAGAUUGAGACCCGUGCCAGGACUACGGUCUUGGCGAACAUUAUACAUACAUGUAGUGAGAGAGCAUCAGCAAGAACCUCCCCGGCGUGUGUGGUGACAUAGACAAGAAUGGUGAACCUUGGGGCCAUAGUGGAUGCUACUGCAAUGUUUAUCGUCACCACAUCGUCACCAUGAUUCACCUCCUUUUUCUGAAUAUAUCAGCACUCCUUUGGAAUGAUCUGUUGAAGAGAAUGGAAGGAUUGUUGUGAAGAGGAAGCUGGCUGAGAAGAUUUGUCAAUACAGGAGGGCUGUGUUUAUACAGCAGGUUAGGUUCUGGGUUGCUGCUGUAGAGGAGGGCCCUGCUUGUACAGCAGGUUAGGUUCUGGGUUGCUGCUGCAAAGGAGGGCCCUGCUUGUACAGCAGGUUAGGUUCUGGGCUACUGAUGUAGAGGAAGGCCUUGCUUAUACUACUUACUACUGUGCAACCUACACUUACAGAGCCAUUAAUUCCAAUAUUAACCCUGAACUAAAACACUUUCUUGAUAGUCGUGACAGGAACCACAGGCAUAACACCAGACACAAAAAUCUCUAUGACAUUCCCUGUGUCCAGCUAAACCUAUACAAAAAUUCAUUGUACAUAAAGGACCUAAAAACUGGAACACCCUACCUGAAAACUCUAGAACUGCAGACACAUUCAUCACUUUCAAAACUACCAUUAGAAAACAUCUUAUCUCAUUUACACACCCGUAACUACAUGAAAACUACCUAUUCUCUUGUAUCAUACACACAUGAAAAACAAACUAGACCUACUCUCAAUAUCUGUGAUUCCCCCAAUUUACACUGACACUAUUACCUAAUGAAUUUUAAACUAGUCAUAGGUUUGCCUGAGAUACUGUAAUACAGGAGAUUUAAUAGAAACUAUGUAUUGAGCCAAGACAAAACCAUUUUUGUUGCUAAAUUUAUGAACUGUAAUGCAGUUCCAACAUGCUCCAUAACCUGUACCAAUAUAGUUUGAAUUAAUCUUAGUCUGCCCGAAAAGCCUAGUCAUGCCAGGCAUGAUAGUGGUCCUCUCUGUAAUUAGUAUUUCAUAAUAUGUAACACCACACAUUGUAACUAAUAUUCUAUAAUAUGUAAACCCCGCACUGUAAUCUUUAUAGAGAAUAAAUUUGAUUGACUGAUUGAUUGAUACAGCAGGUUAGGUUCUGGGCAACUGCUGUACAGGAGGGGCCCUGCUUAUACAGCAGGUUAGGUUCUGGGCAACUGCUGUACAGGAGGGGCCCCGCUUAUAGAGCAGGGUUUAAAUUCUGGGCUACUGCUGUACAGGAGGGGCCCUGCUUAUACAGCAGGUUAGGUUCUGGGCUACUGCUGUACAGGAGGGGCCCUGCUUAUAGAGCAGGUUAAGUUCUUGGCUACUGCUGUACAGGAGGGGCCCUGCUUAUACAGCAGGUUAGGUUCUGGGCUACUGCUGUACAGGAGGGGCCCUGCUUAUACAGCAGGUUAGGUUCUGGGCUACUGCAGUACAGGAGGGGCCCUGCUUAUACAGCAGGUUAGGG